rnacentral:rRNA from 1 species
AGAGUUUGAUCCUGGCUCAGGAUGAACGCUGGCGGCGUGCCUAACACAUGCAAGUCGAACGAAGUAUAUAUAGGAAGUCUUCGGAUGGAAUAUGUAUAACUUAGUGGCGGACGGGUGAGUAACGCGUAAGUAAUCAACCUGUGACACACGGAUAACUGAUAGAAAUGUCAGCUAAUACGAGAUGAACUGUUUAAAUUGGGAAAUGGAAACAGCAAAGCGAAAGCGGUCACAGACGAGCUUGCGUCUGAUUAGCUAGUUGGUGGGGUAACGGCCUACCAAGGCGACGAUCAGUAGCCGGCCUGAGAGGGUGAACGGCCACAUUGGAACUGAGACACGGUCCAAACUCCUACGGGAGGCAGCAGUGGGGGAUAUUGCACAAUGGGGGGAACCCUGAUGCAGCAACGCCGCGUGAGUGAAGAAGGCCCUAGGGUCGUAAAGCUCUGUCGUAUGGGAAGAAACAAAUGACUGUACCAUACAAGAAAGCCCCGGCUAACUACGUGCCAGCAGCCGCGGUAAUACGUAGGGGGCAAGCGUUAUCCGGAAUUACUGGGCGUAAAGGGUGCGUAGGCGGCUAGUUAAGUCGAGGUUAAAAGGCAGUAGCUCAACUACUGUUGGGCCUUGAAACUAAUUAGCUUGAGUAUAGGAGAGGAAAGUGGAAUUCCCGGUGUAGCGGUGAAAUGCGUAGAUAUCGGGAGGAAUACCGGUGGCGAAGGCGACUUUCUGGACUAUAACUGACGCUGAGGCACGAAAGCGUGGGUAGCAAACAGGAUUAGAUACCCUGGUAGUCCACGCCGUAAACG